GACACCUGUUCCAGUAACAGUGACAACAAGCGGCGUCUGGGCACGGAGCGCUUCUCAUGAUCGGCCUGGGGCCCCAUCUGUGCUGCCUGCUGCACCAGACGCCCAGUGACCCCAACCAGGGCUCCCCCCGCCCCCCACCUGCUGAGCCUCUGCCCCGCAGUCGGACCACUUGCGAAAGGCGGAGCCCUCCGUGCACCGAGGCUGCUGGGCUCACAGCCGCCACCAUCAGGGCGUCCUGAAGAUUGAAUACGGUAAUGCCUUUAAAGCACAGUGUCCGCACACAAACCCGGCUCGGGAAAUGGUACUACCGAGCGACCCUGUGGAUGCGGGGCUCCCAGGAGAAGGUGGAUGGAAGUACUUUGAGGCUCUAGAGCGGACGCCAGCGUGGCAGUCUUCUUCCCCGCUGGAGAGGUUCUGAGUGGGGCCGGCGAGAUCAGUGACACUGUGUGGUAGUACCCAUUCUGUCCGCAUCAACCCGGAGGGUUUACAAAGCACCAUCAUCCCUCAUCUCGCUGAACCCUCUGGGUCCUCCAAGACAGACCUCCCCUUCCCGGAUGAAAAUUUUGGCUUCACACCAACCUCCGUUUCCCCCACGCACACAUCCUAAAGGCUUUAUAAAAGGUGGUGAAAGCCAACGGAUUCGGGGCCACCGUUCACACCUUUCCAGCUGCUCCCACCAAGUCCCCAGAAAGUUCUGAGAUGAUGAGAACAGCAGCAUUCAAGGACCUGUUCCCAGAACGGGAUGACUGAGUCAGAGGAUGUGGACAUUUUCAUGACACGCGGCAUACAGAGCACGCCCUCCAGCCAGGCACAAGUGCACCAGCUGUGCUGGCCGCCACCACAACCAGAAGCUGUGUGUCAGGGUCUCUGAGACCACCCCUGGGCUGACGAUUUGCUAGGACUCCCAGGACUCAGCCUGCGGUCGUGCUCAUGGCUCUGAUUUGACCAAAGGAAAUGAAGCAAAAUCAGGAAAGAGAAAAGGCACAUGAGACGAAGCCCAGAGGACACCAGGCACAGGCUUCUACAUGUCUCCCAUGGGGUCACACAGGGCAGGCGGGCUCCCCAGCAGUGAGGUGUGACGACACGUGCGGAAGGUUGUCGGCCAGGUAGACUCGCUAUUUGUUUAUUUAUUAAGACGUAUUCAUUUAUUUGAGAGAGAGUGAGCACUCAAGCAGGGGGAGGGGCAGAGGGAGAGGGAGGGAGAGAAUCUCAAGCAGACUCCAUGCAGAGUGUGGAGCCCCAUGCAGGGCUCGAUCCCACAGCUCCAGAUCAUGACCUGAGCUGAAACCAAGAGUCAGACGCUCAACCGACUGAGCCACCCAGGUGCCCUGACCAGGUAGGCUCUUUGGAGACUCAGUGCCCAGGGCUUUUGCGGGGGGCAAGUUAUGUAGGCACUUCUGUGUAGCACGUCCCCAAAUCCCAGAGUCCCAGACGGAAAGCCACUGCUCGGCCUGAAUCAUAUUGUAGCACAGUUCAGGCAUAGGGAGCCAUUCUCAUCAGGGAAUGGAGGGAACCCUCCGGAAAUCUAGGUUCCCAGAGCCCGGUGAAGGCCUUGCUGAGGAGAGUGGUCUGAGGCGCGCGCUGUUAACUACUUUUCACUUGCGAUUGCACUCGCUAACACUUAACUAGUCCCCAUGUUCCCCGCGAGCACCCUUGAUCAUUUUCAGCAAUUAGGCGCUCUGCAUUUUCGAUACCAAUCUAGGCUCUGGGAGAUCAUUUAAAUAUUCCCUGAUAGAUAAUUACAUUAGAAAUAAUAAUUGUAUAGCACUUCAGGGUUGAGAGCGUGCUUGCGUUUCUCACUGAAGUAUGACAGCUUCAUGAGGGAUGGUUGGUGCUAUCUGCAUUUGGUGCAGAGCCUGGGUGCUCAGAAAACCAUGUCUCCCACUGGUUCCAUGGGCAGGAAGUGGGGUGCCAGGACCGGAACCCCUGCUGACCACCAUUUCUGGUCUCCGCCUAAAUUAUUAUUUGCAGAGGGAAAGCAUCCCACAUAAACAGUUUGAGCUUGGCUCUCCAAAAUGUAAGCUCGGUGAUUUACAUUCUGAAGACCCUGGAUCCCUGGGAGUUGGAGGCAUUUUAAGCACUGGAAAAAAAUUCUGGGGGCAUCGUCUUAUUUUCUAUACUCUGGAACUUCCCGCUAAUGGGCAGCUGAAUGCUUUUCAGGAGAAAGCUGUUGAAUCGGGGUGGUUGCAAUGCACAUGCGGGGCAGCAGGGGGCAGCCUGUAGCUGCGCACCCUCCAUCAGCUCUAAACUGUGAUUCGCUCCCGUCCCAUCAUCCCAGGGCGCUGAGAGAAGCCAGGCGUCCUGAUGGUUUGAGGCACUCUGGAAAUGAGCGUAAUGUCCAGAGGGGUCCAUGAAGGGACUCAGCAGUGGGCCUGGGGGAAGCUGGGGCUUGACAAAGAGCCGUCAGUUAGCAGUGGCUCUGGGCAGGGAUGAUGCCCCAAAUGGUUGGCAACAGGUAGAGCCCAGGCAGCAGCCAGCCAGGAGGGGCUGGAGGCCAGCAGCCGCAGCACAAGAGUGCAGGACCGAGACGUGAGAGGUGGGAAGUGGGGGGUGGGAGGGGGAUUGGGGGCAGCUAUUUACCAGUUGGUAUGAAGGAAUCUGGAUAUUUAGAAACUGAACCAGUGCUUACGGGCUGAGGAUUAGCCCGGAUGAGGUCUGUAGGGGCCGAAGCAAUGGUGUCAAGAUCCCUUCAGCCCAGGCGCUGUGGUUUUAGUGGUUCAUAGGAUUGGUAAUUCUGAGAACAUGAGCUUUUUGCAAACCAAGGGGAUAUAUUACACUAUUACACUCUCACAGCAGAUCAGGCUGCUUUGCCCUUGGCUUUCUGAGCCCCCAUGAUUUGGCCACCCCCACUGACCCACGCAGGUCCGUGCCCCUGGGAGCCUGGUCUGGCAGACCUCACUCCUGCUCCAGGCUCCCCCAAGCUCCGCCAGCUGCUCGUGUAGCGGUGGUCUCCGAGGGGAGAGGCUGGGGUCCAGGCUGGAGCGGGGGGCAGCCGGGCAGGCUGGGGUGUGGAGGGGAGCACCUGACCAGGUACAGAGCAUGGGAUUCGUGUUGGGCAGACCUCCGUCCCAGCUCCAGCCCCAUCCCCUGGGGGACCGUGGGUGAGCCCCUUUGCCUGUCUUCCACCCUGACCUGGCCGUGCUGGUGAGAACAGGCUGGGAAGGUGGAGGUGAGCGGCCUCCAACUCGGGGGUGCAGUGCACGUCCAUGCUGAGUGUGUUCACCCUCAGUCAGGUUCUUCCAGGGAGAAUCGGGUCUAGAAUGUGGGAGUACCCGAGGAGGGAGGGACUGAGGAUUAAAGUCCAGCAAAGGACAGUGACCCCCAGGAGCUUGUCUCCCAAGAGCAAGUUCACUGGACUCUGUAGACUGGGUAAGGCCGAUUGUCCUCCCCAUGUGCCUUGUCCAGUUACUGGAAGACCUGCAUAGAAUCAAAAGUCCGAGUAAGAAGAAUUCUUCCGUCCUGACUGCCGUCCUGGCGCAUUGGUCUUUUCGUGCCUUUGGUCUUAAGCUAGAAAAUCGACUCUUCUAGGGUCUGAGUCUGCCAGACUCGAACUUACACCAUCGGCUCUCGUGGGCCUCUGGCCUGCCAGCUGCACUUGUGGGGACUUGUCAGCCUCUGUGAUCCUGUGGGCCAACUCCUUAUGACAGAUCUAUCUCUGUCCUUCUGUCUACCUAGCCAACUCUGCAUAUCCAUAUCUGUACCUUCUUUAGAGAACCUGAGUAAUACAGAUGGGUCUUAUUUUCUCUAUUUUCCAGAUGAGGAAACUAAGUCCAGAGAGUUGAGAUGGGGGGUGGGAACUCAGAGUCCCAUGAGCACAGGCUGGACCGUCUGAAGCUGGCCCCCAUCUUGUCAGGUCGUAUCAUGCCUGGGCGCAGCUGGACCCGUGGGGAACACACAGGCCUGGCUCAGGAGAUAGGGAUGCCCCCUUCUUCGUCACAGGAACCCGGAGGACAAGUAGUUAGUCAGCCCUACCCUAAAGAUAUAGUCACCAGAUGUACCUAAUGAAAUCCCUAACAUAUAGAACAAAGACAGGCACCCCAGUGUUUACAACAGCAAUGUCUACAAUAGCCGGACUAUGGAAAGAGCCCAGAUGUCCAUCGACAGAUGAAUGGGUAAAGAAAAUGUGACACACACACACACACACACACACAUACACA